rnacentral:misc_RNA from 1 species
GAAGAAGUUAUGAGGAUCUGAAGUUCACAACAAUAAUAUCAGCACAAGCAUUGGGACGGAUAAUUCCUGAAACAUGCAAAGCAAUUUGUAUUGUUUUAAAAGACUAUGUAAAGUUUCCUCAGAGUGAAAAUGAUUGGAGAAUAAUAUCUGAAGGUUUUAAACGGAGGUGGAAUUUUCCAAACUGUUUAGGAGCAGUUGAUGGGAAACAUGUCAGAAUCGUUAAGCCUUAAUAGUGGAUCAUAUUUUUUUAAUUAUAAAGGCUUUUUCAGUUCAGUAUUAUUAGCUAUUGUUGAUAGUAACUAUCAAUUUAUCCUGGUAAAUUUUGGUAUAAACGGACGUGUGUCAGAUGGCGGUGUAAUUGAAAACACAAUUUUUUAUGAGAAAUUAAAAUCCAAGAAUUUACAUAUUCCAAAUUCAUCUUUUGUUAAUGCAAACAACACAAUUAAGCUACCUUUUGUUUUUAUUGGCGAUUUUCUUUGCGAACAGAUUUUUUGAAACCGUUUGCCCAACGAGAUCUCUCAACACCUAAAAAAAUAUUCAAUUAUCGUCUUUCGCGUGCAAGGAACGUUGUUGAAAAUGCGUUUGGCAUUUUAGCUAGUAGAUUCAGAAUUUAUCACACAGAAAUAAACAUGCAAAUAAAAAAUAUCGAAUCCGUUGUAUUAGCAACCUGCGCGCUUCAUAAUUUUCUUAGACAAAAAAGCAAAGAUUAUUUGGGAUUCAAUUACACUGAUAUUGAAGAUGCUUUCAUUUAUGAAGAAGAACAUGGAUUUACAAAUUUAAAACGAGGACAAAAUAGGCAUGCUUCGGACCAAGGCAAAGAAGUUAGGAACGCAUUUUUGGAAUAUUUUAUAACUGAUGGAAAAGUUUCGUGGCAAGAAAAUGCUAUAAAAUAAACAUAAAUAUUCCCUUUUUAUAAAAUUAAUCCUACUUUGUCAAGUGUGUAAACUUUUUGAACUGAAUUAAAAUAUAAAAAAUGUUUCUUAAAAAUGUUGGUGCAACCCAUCCAGAAUAUUGUACUGAUAGUACUUUUGCUUAUAGCUUACUAUUUUUUUUAUUAAAUCAAAGAGUAAUGAAUAAAUUGGUUUAUUUUUUAAAAACUUACAAAAACACUCCUUUUAUUUAUGUAAUGUAACAUAUUGUGUAACAAAAAAUGUUUAAUAAUAACAAAUAAACAGAAGUACUAAACCUUUAA